rnacentral:rRNA from 1 species
AUUGAACGCUGGCGGCAGGCCUAACACAUGCAAGUCGAGCGGAUGAAGGGAGCUUGCUCCUGGAUUCAGCGGCGGACGGGUGAGUAAUGCCUAGGAAUCUGCCUGGUAGUGGGGGAUAACGUCCGGAAACGGGCGCUAAUACCGCAUACGUUCUGAGGGAGAAAGUGGGGGAUCUUCGGACCUCACGCUAUCAGAUGAGCCUAGGUCGGAUUAGCUAGUUGGUGGGGUAAAGGCCUACCAAGGCGACGAUCCGUAACUGGUCUGAGAGGAUGAUCAGUCACACUGGAACUGAGACACGGUCCAGGCUCCUACGGGAGGCAGCAGUGGGGAAUAUUGGACGAUGGGCGAAAGCCUGAUCCAGCCAUGCCGCGUGUGUGAAGAAGGUCUUCGGGUUGUAAAACACUUUAAGUUGGGAGGAAGGGCAGUAAGUUAAUACCUUGCUGUUUUGACGUUACCAACAGAAUAAGCACCGGCUAACUUCGUG